UACAGAGGGAGCAAGCGUUAUUCGGAAUUAUUGGGCGUAAAGGGCGCGUAGGCGGCUUGGCAAGUGGAUGGUGAAAUCCCUCGGCUUAACCGAGGAACUGCCGUCCAAACUGCUUAGCUUGAGACCGGGAGAGGUGAGUGGAAUUCCCAGUGUAGCGGUGAAAUGCGUAGAUAUUGGGAGGAACACCAGUGGCGAAGGCGGCUCACUGGACCGGUACUGACGCUGAGGCGCGAAAGCGUGGGGAGCAAACGGG
rnacentral:rRNA from 1 species